CAAAAAAAAUUCAUUUGCAGCUAGAAAUAAAAAAAAAAAACUCAAACACUUUCUCUUCUCUGUUAGGGUUUCAAAAUCCCUUUUGGGCCGUCGCCAUUUUGACCCCUUUCGCCGCGGUUCUACCGCGAUUGGCGGUCAGAGGCGCGGCUAAGCCGCUUCAAUCUCCCUGAAGCCGAUUUGGAGGGGGUUAGUGGCCGGUGGCAGAGAGCAGGUGCGGUGGCAGAGCAGGUGGAUAGAGGGUCGGUGGCUGAAGACCCUAGGUGCGGCGCACCUAGGGUUGCUGCUGCUUUUUCUUUUUCUUUUCUGAACAUGGGCUAGGGUAGUUGGGUGUAUUGGGUUUGGGCUUUUAGAUUUUGGGCUUAUGGUAUGGUUUGGGUAUUGGGAGUUUGGGCUAGGGCAAUAGUACAAUCACACACAAUAAUAAUAUUCAAUUUAAAACAUAUAAAUUCUUAAUUUAGUAACACGAACUUACCUUGACAAGUGUUUGUAAUAUACUAAUCCGAUACUUUUUCCUUUCCUCGAUCCAAUUCUGUAUUUGUUCUAUCUGGAUCUAUACAAGUAAAUUUAACUCAAUUUAAUAAAAUUCAUAUUCAAUUCAAUCCAA